rnacentral:tmRNA from 1 species
GGGGGUGUACGGAUUCGACGGGGGUUAGAGCCUCGUAGGGUGCAUGCCCUAAGCCCCGGGUUAGUGGGUAAGCACAAUAAGUGCAAACGCUAACUACGCUUUGGCUGCCUAAUUAAAGGCAGCAGGCUCGUAAUCUUCCACCCACCUGGGAGAUUGCGAGCUUAAUAUAGAGGUGGGGGUAGAUAAUCUUGGUCCCGGGUUAUCUACCUACGAAGGGACCUACGCCCUAAGGGUUUUGGCAAGCUUUCCCUUAGGGAAGAGAACAAAAGCUUGCCUAAGCAUGUAGGACCCUACAGGGCUUGACCCUCGGACGCGGGUUCGAUUCCCGCCACCUCCAAUU